rnacentral:tRNA from 1 species
ACCCCUGUAGCUCAGUGGAUAGAGCAUUGGUUUCCUAAACCAUGCGCGCAAGUUCGAUUCUUGCCAGGGGUACCA